CCUCUUUCUGCCAUGUAAGGACACAGUGAGAACACACCAUUCGCAAGCUGGAAGAGAACCCUCCCAGACCUACGGGCACCUUAAUCUUGGACUUUCAAUCUUGAGAACUGGUCACAGACCUUUGAGAGGAGAAAAUCGAAACCUUCAACUGCCAUUUUACCUGCAGGAAACUCUCCACUCCCUGAACACAAAGAUGCUCUGUCAAAUGGGCAUGCCCCUCUGAGGCAGAAGAGUGAAGCUUGAACGAGAGAAAACAGGCUGGAGAAGAGAGGAUGGGCAGGGAGAAAAGCAAGAGCCACGCAUGAAAUAGAAGAUAAGUGUGUGAUCUCUGCGUCUUCACACAGAGCUGAGUGGCCAUCAUCCUACAAUUACCGUUAUCAGAGAACCAGGGCCUAGAGGAAGAACGCCUGAUUGGGAGUCAGAAGUCUUCUUUCACACCAUACAGACUUGCUUGGGCAAGUAACAUAACCUCUCUGAACCUCUGUAUUUUUCUUGUCUAGAUGGGGAAAA